AGUGCUGCAAUUGUCUACACUCCAAGUU
rnacentral:sRNA from 1 species